UCAUUUACUUAAGAUAAAAAAUAAAAAAACAUGUGACAGUCACGUGUAUUUCUUCAACCUCUUACCUUAAUUCUUUUCAAUACUUUUUCAGCCUUCUCUCUUGCAACUCAUCCUACUCUCAACAUCGGCCAGCCGAAAUAGUUAAAAAAAUCCUCAUCUUGACUGAGUAGAACCCGUAAUCGAGUCUUGCAAUUCUUCCAAGAAUCUCGUCGAAUCGCUAGAUUCUUAAAACCCAUUAUCAUUCUCGAAUUUAAUUCAAGAUUUUUCUCCUCUGCUUCUCAAAUCUUCAGUUCCUUCCAGUGAUUGAAUCAGGAGUCUCCUUCCUCUGUACUAAAAGGUGUUUCCUUUAUCUUUAUUGUACAUACCAUUUCGAAAUUAAGUAUCGCUAAGUUUGCAAAUGGGAGAUUUAAUUGUGGACUGUGCAUUUAAUUCGGAAAGGAGGACGCUUUAGUUUCGCUGCUGAGAGAAUUAGAGAGUCAUGUCAUGUGAGGGUUUGGUGAAGAGGAAGAAGGAGAACAUGUGACUUACGUUUUGCUUAGGAAAAUGGUAUGAUUGCUUUGAUGAGGUUCAAGAGGUACUUGCGAAAUUCAUGGAAAGUGCAGUGAGGACUCGCGUUAGCUCAUGAUUUAUUCUAUGAGAAGGAACCCUUACGAGACCAAAUCUACUUAAUAGUUGAGCAGGGGCUUUAUCGAGCUUGACUUCUUAACAGUGUCUUUAGUUACGUUUUCAUUGUGACUUUAAACUUUUGUGUUCUGCAAAAGAAUUCAAAGCAAAGAUUAAUUUGUUUUACUCAUGUAAGUUUAAAAAAAAAAAAUUCUGGAUAGAGUUAGAGAUGUGUUUUUUAACAUGGA